GUUUUUGGUGGCCUCAAGGAAGAGCACAGUUAGCCUGUGUUCAGAGAAAGCCAAAGGGCUGGAGAGUUAAUGUCCCCAAAGCAUCCCCCAAAGUCCUGACGGAAAAGAAAGAUCAUACGUCAGAAAACAGUAUUUACACCUGGUCUGAAAUACCAAUAUCUGCUAGACCUCAUCGUUCAGUUCAGAGAUUCCUGUCAGCAGACACAAUCUCCUUCUAUCUACUAGUUCCUGCACAAAAGGCUCCCAAGGCCUCCUUCUGAGGACCACUGACACUUAACUCCAAUGAAGAAUGAAGAAUUAGAGUCAAUUUAUUACCAGCAAGUUUGAAAACAUCCCAAAG
rnacentral:lncRNA from 1 species